ACGAACGCUGGCGGCGUGCUUAACACAUGCAAGUCGCACGGAAAGGCCCUGCUUUUGUGGGGUGCUCGAGUGGCGAACGGGUGAGUAACACGUGAGUAACCUGCCCUUGACUUUGGGAUAACUUCAGGAAACUGGGGCUAAUACCGGAUAGGAGCUCCUGCUGCAUGGUGGGGGUUGGAAAGUUUCGGCGGUUGGGGAUGGACUCGCGGCUUAUCAGCUUGUUGGUGGGGUAGUGGCUUACCAAGGCUUUGACGGGUAGCCGGCCUGAGAGGGUGACCGGCCACAUUGGGACUGAGAUACGGCCCAGACUCCUACGGGAGGCAGCAGUGGGGAAUAUUGCACAAUGGGCGGAAGCCUGAUGCAGCAACGCCGCGUGCGGGAUGACGGCCUUCGGGUUGUAAACCGCUUUCGCCUGUGACGAAGCGUGAGUGACGGUAAUGGGUAAAGAGGCACCGGCUAACUACGUG
rnacentral:rRNA from 1 species